AAUUAAUAAAUGGAAUAAAAAACUUACAAAGGACAUUAACAUUAGACACCCCCUUAAAAGACAAUCUAUGUUGAAGACUAUUUCAUUCAAAUUAAUCGUCAAAUACUAUAUGUUUCAUAUUUAUAUAUCUACGAGUACUUUAACAUAACAUAAUUAUUUAAUUGGGACUGCAAAAGUACUUUAUUACUUAGCCGUAGUCGACUUGAGGGCAGGCAAGGGGACAAUUUUAUUAAGUGUCACUCAAUACACAUGUUAGAAUUCAUUUUACAUAGAUUAUGCAUAAGAAAGAGAGAGAAAAAAAAACCAAGCAGAAGAGACAUCAUUUAAGCAUCAUACUAAGGAACAUCCUUAUACGUGUACAAUUUUCUCCUUUCUCACGUCGAAAGAUAAGUCUUUCUCUCAUUUUACGUUUGGUUUAAUAUAUGUAUAUAUAUAUAUAUAUGUACGAAGAUAUAUGUUUACUUAUAACUUUUGUGAGAAUAGUUUAAAAAAUAAGAUAAAAGUAUUGUCCUUUUUCUUCUGUACAAUGGCACCUGGAGCAUUUGGAAUUUUAGGUCCUUUAUUGCGUCGUAAAAAAAAAUAUGAAAAAUUAGAAACGGAGGAUCCAGAAAAAAAAAAAAAUCAAGAAGCAAGUCAUGACGAAAUUGAAAGACUUAAUAAUAAAAUUGAUAAAUUGGUAACUUCUUUAUCAAGAGAUGACUUAGAACCAGCUUUGAACCCUGAUGAGGAGUGUAUCGUAUGUAAUAAGUCGAAAGCAGUGAUGGAAGUAGCACCAUGUGGUCAUCAGUGCCAAUGCCGAAUAUGCUUCAUUUUUAAAAUUCAAGAAGCUGUUGAAUCAAGAGAUCUCCCACUCAGAUGUUUGAUUUGUAAUGUAAAGAUAUUUAGAGUAAAGAACAACUCAAGGAAGAGAAAUAUGGAAAACAACAGUAAAGAAAUUUGCAAAAGCACUUCUAAAAACAGCAUAGCAAAGUCGAUAUCUGGAUAUUCCAUAGUAUUAGGUGUAAAUGACCAGCUUACUCAUUCUGAAUCAAGUUAUUCAAUCUCAUCAGGAAUAUCAAAUAUCAGUACAUCAAGUAAAGAUUCAAAAAAGUCUAUGAAAUCUACCUCUUCAUGGUUUUCACUUGGAUCAUUGUCUUCUUUUCAAGCUAACGGUGGAUGUCUACUUAUAAACAAAAAUGUUUUGUCGAAAUCUCCGAGGGCACAUUCUAUAUUUGGAGGUCAAAAAACUCAAAACAAAUCUACCAAUACAAAAUUUUUACAAGAAAGUAGUCUAUAUUUUGAUAAACAAGAAAAUAUCAGAAAUAUUGAGUAUAAUUGUAGAAAUGAUAUAAAUGUAAAUAAUAAUGGUUUACAUUAUAAUCAACAUAAUAAACAAAGCCCGAAAAAAUGGCAAGGGAAAAAAUGUCAAAGAAAAAAUGGCAGGAAAAAAAUUAAGAAGAAAUGAGUGUAAGUGGAAAAAAUGCCAAGAUUAUUUGAAACUGAUAUAAUACCUAUCACCAAUAUCGUAAAUAUUAUGUAUUAAGAUUUAAAAAAAAAACGAAUUUUUGAAUGGCAGAACAGCUAAUCAAGUUUCAUUCUCCCGUUACUCAUCGAUCAACGAACAAUCAUUAUCAUAACAUAUUGAGAAAUAAAAGGCACCUGAAAUUUUCGAGGACUGCAAUCUCCAUCCCAAAGAAGGAGUCCACUCUAUUCCCUUAUGAAGCUUCUUAGUUUUCCUUGGAUGUAUUUUUAUUCCCUCGUCCUUGGUGGAAUUCGGAAUCCAGUUACUUCUUAGGACACUCAGUCCUUGGGACUGAUCCUUAAGACUGUCGGUCCUUAGGACCACUACUUAACUGUCGAAUAAUUAAAUAAAUUGACGUCAUGAAGGAUCGAUUUUACCUUCUUUAAGGACUGACAAGUGGGACUGACACAAAAUUACUUGAGAUAGCUGAUCAAGUUAGAAAUAUCUUCCUUGGAUUCCCUUUACCUUCUUUUGGCCAAACUCU
rnacentral:misc_RNA from 1 species